UACGUAGGGGGCAAGCGUUGUCCGGAAUCAUUGGGCGUAAAGAGCGUGUAGGCGGCCAGAAAAGUCCGCUGUGAAAACUCGAGGCUCAACUUCGAGCUGUCGGUGGAAACUUUCUGGCUAGAGUCCGGAAGAGGAGAAUGGAAUUCCUGGUGUAGCGGUGAAAUGCGUAGAUAUCAGGAGGAACACCGGUGGCGAAGGCGGGUCUCUGGGCCGUAACUGACGCUGAGGGACGAAGGCGUGGGAAGCAAACGGG
rnacentral:rRNA from 1 species